rfam:Candidatus Phytoplasma aurantifolia strain WBDL phyWBDL_0101, whole genome shotgun sequence.
GAAAGCCGGAUGCUUGGAAACUUGCUUGUCCGGUUUGGACGGGGGCUGAUUGUAAAUAAAACAGCAAAUAAAAAUCGCUGCAUAAAACGCAAUUAAUCUAUCCGUAU